UCAGAUACCUACAACUUUUUUCUGCAGUCAAUUAAAUCUAAAUAAUUAAAAACUUAUACGCAUCCUUUAAAUUAAAAAAAAAAAAUAUUUGUUAUUGUAGUGACUCGCAUAUUUUCAAUACGAGCUUUUUACUGUUCGAUGACGUACAAUGUGCUCUUAACUGGUCCAAAGGGUGUGAGGCUUAUACAUAAUAUAUUGUUCGAAGGCAGAACUUAGCUACGAACUGAGUCAUUUUCGUACGAAAAAAAAAAACAAGAAUACAUUCCCACAGCCUUUAAGUAGGUUAUUAAUUCGACAACACAUUCAAACAAAAAUACAGAACCAUGGUGAACAAAACCACGUCGUACAGUACUCAAACUCUACUUGUAUAUCCAAGUAUCCGAAUCCGAACAUAACCCAAAAGUAUGUAGGUACCUUCUUUCCCACAUACCUUCCAAACUGUAUAUUCGUAUCAAAUUUACGUAACACGGAAAAAAGCUCGUUUUUGUAUUUUAACUUUUUCCAUUUUGGCUUUUUUAUUGAUUUUCUGAAGCGGAAAAAGGUCAAGGAUAAAUUCGCCUCAUUCCGGAAAAGAAAAGAGACGUUGUGACUUUCUUUACGGCCAUUUCCAACAAAGCAGCCAACCAACCUACCUACCGAUUGAACCUUUUGUCCUUAAACUAUACAAAUUAACCAACUUUUCUAUACGCCGUAUAUACCAUGAACCUUAAAAGGACUAUAGUUAGAAAAAUGGGAAAAAAAGAAAACCUACUGAACUGGACAAAACACUCCCACGUCAACGUCUAUUAUUUAAAUCGAACAAACAAAACGACAAGACGACCCACAAACUACUGAAUCCGAUUCGAAGCUGGUUUGGUUCCUUUCCUAACAUUCGGCGGCUCCGUGAAUCCACUCAAAUCUAAAAGGGGAAGAUACAGUCCACAUCCACACGGCCAUGUAGCUUUUCAUUAAAUUACACUCAAACUGAGUUAGAAAGAGAAUUUUUCAUUUCAGCAACAAAAUUUAUGUUUCAGUGUUUCGGUGGAACGGAAAACUGCUUUCGAAAAUAGUACAAAUGUACUACUUUGCGUCUUUAAUCAAAAAAUGGUACUGCUUUCAUGUGACUUAAAAGUUGUUUAAUU